GCGGAGGAAAAGAAACCAACAGGGAUUGCCUUAGUAGCGGCGAGUGAAGCGGCAAAAGCUCAAAUUUGAAAUCUGGCUCUUUCAGAGUCCGAGUUGUAAUUUGAAGAAGGUAUCUUUGGGUCUGGCUCUUGUCUAUGUUUCUUGGAACAGAACGUCACAGAGGGUGAGAAUCCCGUGCGAUGAGAUGAUCCAGGCCUAUGUAAAGUUCCUUCGAAGAGUCGAGUUGUUUGGGAAUGCAGCUCUAAGUGGGUGGUAAAUUCCAUCUAAAGCUAAAUAUUGGCGAGAGACCGAUAGCGAACAAGUACAGUGAUGGAAAGAUGAAAAGAACUUUGAAAAGAGAGUGAAAAAGUACGUGAAAUUGUUGAAAGGGAAGGGCUUGAGAUCAGACUUGGUAUUUUGUAUGUUACUUCUUCGGGGGUGGCCUCUACAGUUUAUCGGGCCAGCAUCAGUUUGGGCGGUAGGAGAAUUGCGUUGGAAUGUGGCACGGCUUCGGUUGUGUGUUAUAGCCUUCGUCGAUACUGCCAGCCUAGACUGAGGACUGC
rnacentral:rRNA from 1 species